AAGAAGGGAGAAGGUGAAAGGGCUUAAAUAUUAAUGCUACAUAAAAAAAUGUGAAGCAGCUGAUUCAAAAAGCCAAGUGACAGCUUCUUUGGAAGAAUCCUUCUUGCUGCUUUGACUCAACAUUCCGGAAAAUAAUAUCUUUGUUCUUGUUGAUGAUAACCAAUGCUUCGGCAGCGAACAUUUAGAAACAGCAUUUGCAACUUUACUGCAGCCAAAUAACUUUUAAGGAGAAAGAAAAACUUUAGACCGCCAAGAUAAAGCCUCCAAAUUUUGUGGAUCAGCUCUUGUUUUCUGUAUGUAGUGCUCCAGAGUAUGUGCCUGGUCAUUUAUGAUAUCAGUAGAUAUUGUAUCUUCAGCUAGUUUGACUGCUGCAAUUUGAGACAGUUGAAAACUCUCUGCAACACGUUGUAGCUUUCUUGCAAUGUCCUCUUCACCAAGCAUCAAAAGGGAAAUCAAUAAGGAUCUAAGCUCAUGCUUUGCUCCAUCCGUUAGACACAUGCCGUUCAAAUGCUCCACCAGAGCUAUUUCCUCUCCAGGACUCCCAGGGCGAAUUUUUCCUCUAUUUCUUUGACGCCUUGAGUCUCUGGCCUUACUAGUAACACUUGAGCUAACUGAAGCAGCAGAGCCCACCCUUGUUGUCCCUGUAGUGUAGGCACUCAUUCCGCUAAAGUUACUGCUUGCUUCUGAAGCAGUGUCAUCCUCCAGCUCAUUCACUGGGCGAUCCUCCAACUGAAGCUUUGCUGCAAGCAGUAACCUUCUCUGUCGGACAGCUAAAUAGCGAGUCAAGUACUUUCCCACUUUCUCCAAACCUUCCUCAUAUUCACCAAUUAAAGCAUUUGCACCUUCUAAA
rnacentral:misc_RNA from 1 species